UGAUGCAGCGACGCCGCGUGAGGGAUGACGGCCUUCGGGUUGUAAACCUCUUUCAGUAGGGAAGAAGCGAAAGUGACGGUACCUGCAGAAGAAGCACCGGCUAACUACGUGCCAGCAGCCGCGGUAAUACGUAGGGUGCGAGCGUUAUCCGGAAUUAUUGGGCGUAAAGAGCUCGUAGGCGGUUUGUCGCGUCUGUCGUGAAAGUCCGGGGCUUAACCCCGGAUCUGCGGUGGGUACGGGCAGACUAGAGUGCAGUAGGGGAGACUGGAAUUCCUGGUGUAGCGGUGGAAUGCGCAGAUAUCAGGAGGAACACCGAUGGCGAAGGCAGGUCUCUGGGCUGUAACUGACGCUGAGGAGCGAAAGCAUGGGGAGCGAACAGGAUUAGAUACCCUGGUAGUCCAUGCCGUAAACGUUGGGCACUAGGUGUGGGGACCAUUCCACGGUUUCCGCGCCGCAGCUAACGCAUUAAGUGCCCCGCCUGGGGAGUACGGCCGCAAGGCUAAAACUCAAAGGAAUUGACGGGGGCCCGCACAAGCGGCGGAGCAUGCGGAUUAAUUCGAUGCAACGCGAAGAACCUUACCAAGGCUUGACAUGUUCUCGAUCGCCGUAGAGAUACGGUUUCCCCUUUGGGGCGGGAUCACAGGUGGUGCAUGGUUGUCGUCAGCUCGUGUCGUGAGAUGUUGGGUUAAGUCCCGCAACGAGCGCAACCCUCGUUCCAUGUUGCCAGCACGUAAUGGUGGGGACUCAUGGGAGACUGCCGGGGUCAACUCGGAGGAAGGUGGGGACGACGUCAAAUCAUCAUGCCCCUUAUGUCUUGGCUUCACGCAUGCUACAAUGGCCGGUACAAUGGGUUGCGAUACUGUGAGG
rnacentral:rRNA from 1 species